GACAGAGGGGGCAAGCGUUGCUCGGAAUCACUGGGCGUAAAGGGCGCGUAGGCGGGAUGGCAAGUCGGUCGUGAAAUCCUUCGGCUCAACCGAAGAACGUCGGCCGAUACUGCCGUUCUUGAGGGAUGCAGAGGAGAUUGGAAUUCCCGGUGUAGCGGUGAAAUGUGUAGAGAUCGGGAGGAACACCGGUGGCGAAGGCGGGUCUCUGGGCAUCUCUUGACGCUGAGGCGCGAAAGCGUGGGGAGCAAACGGG
rnacentral:rRNA from 1 species